rnacentral:rRNA from 1 species
AUUGAACGCUGGCGGCAGGCCUAACACAUGCAAGUCGAGCGGAUGAAGGGAGCUUGCUCCUGGAUUCAGCGGCGGACGGGUGAGUAAUGCCUAGGAAUCUGCCUGGUAGUGGGGGAUAACGUCCGGAAACGGGCGCUAAUACCGCAUACGUCCUGAGGGAGAAAGUGGGGGAUCUUCGGACCUCACGCUAUCAGAUGAGCCUAGGUCGGAUUAGCUAGUUGGUGGGGUAAAGGCCUACCAAGGCGACGAUCCGUAACUGGUCUGAGAGGAUGAUCAGUCACACUGGAACUGAGACACGGUCCAGACUCCUACGGGAGGCAGCAGUGGGGAAUGGACAAUGGGCGAAAGCCUGAUCCAGCCAUGCCGCGUGUGUGAAGAAGGUCUUCGGAUUGUAAAGCACUUUAAGUUGGGAGGAAGGGCAGUAAGUUAAUACCUUGCUGUUUUGACGUUACCAACAGAAUAAGCACCGGCUAACUUCGUG